CCUACGGGAGGCAGCAGUGGGGGAUAUUGCACAAUGGGGGGAACCCUGAUGCAGCGACGCCGCGUGAGUGAAGGAGCCUUUCGGCAUGUAAAGCUCUAUCGGCAGGGAAGAAAAUUACAGUACCUGACCAAGAAGCCCCGGCUAACUACGUGCCAGCUGCCGCGGUAAUAGGUAGGGGGCAAGCGUUAUCCGGAUUUACUGGGUGUAAGGGGGGCGUAGACGGUAAUGUAAGCCUGGAGUGAAAGCCCGGGGCCCAACCCCGGGACUGCUUUUGAAACUGUGUAGCUGGAGUUCAGGAGGGGCAGGCGGAAUUCCUGGUGUAGCGGUGAAAUGCGUAGAUAUCAGGAGGAACACCGGUGGCGAAGGCGGCCUGCUGGACUGAGACUGACGUUGAGGCUCGAAGGCGUGGGGAGCAAACAGGAUUAGAUACCCGUGUAGUC
rnacentral:rRNA from 1 species